AGAAUAUUCUGUGCUCUCUCUGGAUGGGGAUGGCUGUAAAUUUUUAUGGCUUCAGUUCCAAGAAGCGCGGAACAUAGAAACCAAAAGAGGUUCAAAAGAAAAGGAAUCAAAGACCCAAGUUCCUCAAACUCAAUCAAGUAAAACCCAAAAAUGUGUACUGAAGUUUGACGAUGACUCACGAACAUGGACUUAUCGGCUAUCAGCAUGAUAUCGAAUGAAAAAGGAAGCAAAUUUGGUUUUCAACUUUUUCAAGUAUGACGCUAGAUUUUAGGUUGCUGGAGAUCAGAUGAAAAAUAACCGUUAAUGUUUUUUCCCAACAUAGGAAUCGAAGACUAGAAGGAUCGAAAUGGACUCGGCCUAAGAAUCGAAGAAGGCCACUUGCGUAGGAUAGAAAACGAAAAAAAUAGGGACUCUGGUAUUUCGUCAAAAGCGAUGAAAUGACGAACAACAAGUUAUGUCAGUCUGAGGCACUGAUAAGYAACAAAACAAAAAAUAUGCAGGCAGUUUAAAAAGCGACAAAAUGCAGAAAUCAGACGAAGUAACGAAUACCUACUUAGAAAAGAACUAAAAUGAAGGUGAUACACAGAAAAUGACUGAGUGCGCAGAAGGAUGUUGCUUGUGCUAUCUGUGAUGGUUUAAUAGUGAUAACUAUGGAAGAAAUCAGGAGAGAUUGCAGCUAUCAUGGAGAGGUCUUCCUGUCAUGCAGGACACAAACAACGGUUUUAGGGAUGCAACAGCACUGUUCAUCUUGCCAUUUAAUGAUCUACAAAGGUUGCAACUGUCAUGGAGAGGUCUUCCUGUCAUGCAGGACACAAACAUCGGUUUUAGGGAUGCAACAGCACUGUUCAUCUUGCCAUUUAAUGAUCUACAAAGGUUGCAACUGUCAUGGAGAGGUCUUCCUGUCGUGCAGGAAACAAACAACAGUGGAACCGGAAUAGAAAGACCCCAGUUGCCACCAAGAGGUUUGCAAGUCAUUGAUUCCWAUGAGAGAAUGCAGCUGUCUUGGAGAGGUUUGCCUGUCAUGCAGGACACAAACAACAAUGUMAGUGAUCCUAUUUUUACCUACAUACUUCAAACAGGGAAACCGUUUWUUAUCAGUGUAGUAUAUACAGUGUCUAAUUUUGUCUGUACAUUAACUGAUGCAAUUGYUUAUCGUAACAUUUCUGUGGUAAUUCCUUCAUUGCCAUCCAAUGUACGAUGACCGUACCUGCCAGUAGAGAUUUUUUUAAAGUUUUCUUUAUAUUUAUUUAUUGAUCAUUUUUAUA